rnacentral:lncRNA from 1 species
UCCGUAUUAAUCUGUCAGUAAAUAGCAUUUUAUGUCGGUGGAUGAAGAGUGCUGUCUCCUAUUCUUUCAAUUUAUGAAAAAUCCCUAGUUUUAUCUCCCCAACAAUUCUGUCUUCACUUUGCAGCAAGAACAGACAUGCCGUGGCUUAUGCUGGACAGAAAUCUUGGCUACUCAAUGCCACGGUGGAGGAGAACAUAACGUUUGGCAGUACAUUCAACAAACAGAGGUAAGAGAAAGAGUUGAGCAAUGCUGUAAAUUCCACAUAGUGAUGGCUUAGCUCUAGUUUCUAAUCAUUUGAAACUUCACCUCCUGCUUUGCUGAAUCUGCUUCCUGUUUACUUGAUUCACUUCUUGUUUACCGUUUCCUACCCGUUUUUUUAAAUCCACUUCCUGUUAACUCUGUUACUUCCUGUUUGCUUAAUCCACUUCCUAUUUGUGAAUCCCCUUUCUCUCGGCUUCAUCAAUAGCUGUAUAAUAAAUAUGUUUCCACUUAGUUUAGUUCACUUCUUGUUUACUUAAUUAUUUGCAUCUUUGCUGAAUUUGUUUCCAGUUUAUAUAAUUCUCCUUCCAUCUUUCCAUGUUUUUAUAUAUCUUUAAUUUUGUAUCUUCUUUUACAGAUACAAGGCUGUCAUCGAUGCCUGCUCACUCCAGCCAGAUAUUGACUUAUUACCUUUUGGAGACCAAACAGAAAUUGGAGAAAGGGUUAUUAUAAAAAAAUAUCUUAAUAAUUUCCUCCAUACUAUCUCAUACAGUGACACAUAUAUAAUGUAUCAGGCAAUGCCUCUGGGAACCAACAUACUAUCUCAGACAGAUAAAGUAUCAGACAGUAACACAAAUAUAAUGUAUAAGAUAAUGUCUGUGGGAGCCAACAUACUAUCUCAGACAGAUAAAGUAUCAGACAGUAACACAAAUAUAAUGUAUAAGAUAAUGUCUGUGGGAGCCAACAUACUAUCUCAGAUAGUAACAUGUACAGUUGCAAUCAAUAUUAGUGGACCCCAAUUUAAAAUCAGGUUUAUUUGUCAACAUUUACAGACUUUAAGCUGUUUGCAAUGCACAAUUCAAACAAAAGCAAUUGAAAUAGCUCAACACAAGAAAUGUUUUAAGUGGAUUUCUCAAAUUUAACUGAAAAUGCAACUUAUAAUUAUUUCUCUAGUCUCAAAAUGAUUCAACCCCCAAAUAGAAUUCCUCACAACAUAACAAGUAUGCAAACAGGUGUUGCUUCAAGCACACCUGAUCCAACUAAUCAAGGGCUUCAUUAGUUGCACCAGCUGUGCUUCAGCUGGAAAACUUGAAAUACCUGAACAGGCUAGGAGUUUGCUGAAUGUCAUGUUUGAUUGUAUGUUAGAGUAAAAAGACCCUAACAGUUAGGAGAAGAGAUCAUUGCCCCUUCACAAACAAGGAACAGGAUACAAAAAAAUAACGAAGGCACUAAAUGUUCCUAGAGACUCCAUUGGAAGCAUAGUUUGCAAGUUCAAUAUUAAAGGAACCGUGGUUACACUAUCUUAAUGGGUCAGAAAACGGAAGCUAUCAACGGCAACCAGAUUUCUGAGAAGGCAAGUUGUGAAAAACGCAAUACAUACAGUAGGUGAAUCACACUCCUUGAGGCAUCUACAAAAAAUAUAGAACAAUAUAGUGUAAUAUUGUCAAUAGAUAUAUAAAAGAAAAUAAGAAAGGGGAUCAGGUACUCACAAACCAGGAGCCAAAUAUAAACAUAUGGCUCUCAUGGGAACAGCAUUGGGACCAUAGUGUAGGAUGUCCCUCUCCUUCUUUAGGAUCUUCUUGUGGUGAAUCUGAUGCAGUAGGAUAAAAUGCAGCUUGCCACACUUACUUUAUUCAUAAAGUUUGUAUUGAUCCAAUAAUAAAAUAAAUAACAUAAAAAAAGAAGAAUAGACUGCAACAAAAUAUAAGUCCACAGUCUACUUCAAUCCAGUAUUUGUAAAUGUCUGCAAGCUGCAUUUUAUCCUACUGCAUCAGAUUCACCACAAGAAGAUCCUAAAGAAGGAGAGGGACAUCCUACACUAUGGUCCCAAUGCUGUUCCCAUGAGAGCCAUAUGUUUAUAUUUGGCUCCUGGUUUGUGAGUACAUGAUCCCCUUUCUUAUUUUCUUUUAUAUAUCUAUUGACAAUAUUACACUAUAUUUUUUGUAGAUGCCUCAAGGAGUGUGAUUCACCUACUGUAUGUAUUGUGUUUUUGUAUGUUUUAGAGUGGUAUAAGGGGUUUCCCACUCAGGUGAUAUAUCACACUCACAUUUCCUUUACUCUAUAUAUUAUAUUUACUUUCUACUUAAGUUGUGAAAAACACUCAAGUCAUUGCAAAAGACUUGCAGCGAGGCUUGUUGGCAGCAGGUACAGCAGGUACUGAGAUUUCAGUGAGAACAGUAAAGCGCAUACUAAACGCAGAAGGUUUCCAUGCAAGAACUCCAAGACGUACACCACUACUGACCCAAAAUCACAAGAAAAGAAGGCUCCUGUAUGCCUGAAAUCAUAUAAAUAAACCAAAAGUAUUGGGAUUUGUAAUGGACACCUCCGCCGACGGAUAAUCCUAGCGCUUCUCAAGGACCAUCAGCACCACACCAGACACCAUAUGCACCACAGACUCCACGAACCGCCGUAGCUUGGUUGGGAUCUCGCCAUCUCCUUCCCACCCUGGGACUCUAAGCUCUGGAUCCAGGAGCGUGUGGGAAGGACCUCUCCUCCAAGAGAGUAUAGCUAGGUCUCUCCUCCAAGAGAGUAUAGCUGGGUCUCUCCUCUAAGAAAGUAUAACUGUAUAGCUGAAGAGAGAGCUCUUACAAGAGCUAGCAGUGAAGCUAAGGGAGGAUGAAGAGCAUAGCAAUCCCUGUAGUGAUUAUAGCUGUUCCCCAAACACGCGAGACGAGGCUGCGAGUUAAGGGUCAAGUAGAACUGAUUUAAUGAGCACACAAGCAUUUCUUUUAUACAGUUUUCCCCACAAGGUUACCACCCACGUGGACCUUCUGGAGCACAGGACACAGUCACUGCAGCCAAUCAACACAGUAUUGUACAGUUAGAAACUCCAAGCUAAUGUACACAAACCCUCCCCUCUGCCUGUGAUAAUUAACAAACACAAUGGACUAACUCAAUUACCCACAGGCAGAAAAAACACAUUUUUCACAAAACACAGAAAACACCUCAAAACACCACAUAACCCAACAUCUCUACAUCCCUGGAUAGCCUUGACCUGGGCGAACAACAUAUCCAAAAAUCACCCAGAUCAGAGCAGGGGUUCAAAAGUUUUGUGGAAGUCACAUUUGACCGACCGCAAGCUUGACUGCCCAAGAUAGUUCCACAGAUUUAGGCUGUGUGGCCGGUCUAUCUUCUCCUCUAUCCUGGAGGUAAUUGGCUUAAGUGGCUGUGGUAACCAAAUUAUCUUCAGGUACAGGAAAUAUCUCCAAGUCAAAAACUGUUACAAAAACCACAUAAAAAUACAUAACUCUUAUAAUACAGUGUUUAACCUAUGUGUCCAACAUAUCCCCAAAUAGCUUGGAUCUGAGUGCUCAAUAUGUCAGAAAAGCACUCAGAUCUCACGAAUACAGUUGGAUCACCAUGGGGUCCCUGGGACAACGCCCUGCUGGAGAACAAUAGGACAGGAAAAAGGGGAAGGUUAGAGGCACAUUUUCCCAUGGAAGUUCCUUUUUAGCAUGUCUUUAUGCAGGACCCAUAGUCUUGGGGCAGGAGGCUGGCAAUCAGGGCCCUCCAGAAGCUAGUGGCAAAGAGUAGUUUGUCACAGGAUUCUAUUCUGUGGAGCGAUGAAAAAAACCUGGAACUUUUUGGCCCAAUAGAUCAGUGGUAUAUCUGGAGGAAGAAAAAUGAAGCAGGUAAAGAACAUUCUGCCAAUAGUUAAGCAUGGCAGUGGCUCUGUGAUGCUCUGGGGCUGCUUUGCAUCCUCUGGCACUGGAAACCUACAGCAUGUGGAAGGCAAGAUUGGUUCAUUGUAGUAUCAGAGAAUCCUUGGAGAAAACGUCAUGCUGUCUGUGAGGUAGAUGUAGCUUGGGCGUCAUUGGACCUUCCAACAAGACAAUGAUCCCAAGCAUAACUCAAAAUCCACCGAGGCUUGGUUUCAGAAGAAGUCCAGGAACAUUCUACAGUGGCCAUCACAGUCUCCUACCUUGAACCCCAUAGAAAAUCUCAGGUGUGAUUUAAAGAAGGCACUUGCACCACGCAACCCCAAGAAUAUUACUGAACUGGAGGCCAUUGCUCAUGAACAAUGGGCAAAGAUUCCUCAGGAACGCUCCCAGAAGCUGGUGUCUGGCUUUUAUUAUUAUUAGUAUUAUUUUACUAUUUAUAUAGCGCCAUCAGAUUCCAUAGCGCUGUUCAAUGGGUGGACUAACAGGUAUGUAAUUGUAACCAGACAACUGGACGCACAGGAACAGAGGGGAUGGAGGGCCCUGCUCCAUGUGCUUACAUUCCGUUUGCAGCAGGUCAUAACAGCAAAAGGGCGCUCUACUGAGUACUAAAGAUGCUUGCCAUCAAGUCAUUAAAAGUAGCAUUUUCAGUUCAAUUUGGGGAAAUCACUUUGUUGUGUUGAGCUAUUUCAAUUGCUUUUGUUUGAUGUGUUAAUUGCAAACAGCUUAAGGUCCGUCAAUUUUGAUAAUAAACCUGAUUUUCAAUUGGGUAAUAUAUAUAUCAUGUAUCAGACAGUAACACGUAUAUAAUGUAUCAGACAAUAAUAUAAUGUUUUAGACAGUAACACGUAUAUAAUGUAUCAGACAGUAACAUAUAUAAUGUAUCAGACAGUAAUAUAAUGUAUCAGACAAUAAUAUAAUGUAUCAGAUAAUGUCUGCAGGAACCAAUGUAUUGUCUCAGAGGGAAACUGAACUCUGUUAAAAGUAACAAUGAGCUAGAAAUGAAUGAUAAAGUAAGAAGACGUCUCACUGUACACAAAUCUUAGAUUAAUAUUUUACAAAGGAAAUAAUUUCUUCAUAAAGUAUAAAUGUUUAUCUGUAAUUAUGAAUUCUAUCUGCGUUUCAGUAAAUCCCCCGAGUGUCCUGCCAUCAAUUUCCUUAAGAUAUUAAUUCAGAUAAAAAUAGCCUCUUUCUGCUUAUUUCUCUUGGGAUCGGACGUCCAGUUACAGAACACGCUGAUUUUAAGGCGUGAAAAACCCCUAAGAGUUAGCAGAGCAAGGGGUCUAAUGUCUAAAUGAAAGCAAAUAAAGAUCCAUUGCUGGUGGGUGAAUCACUAACAAUGGAAGGACUAUCUUGUUAGUAUCAAAAGCUGAAUGAUCGUCAGUAAUUUCAGAAAAGAAAUAUCAAGCAGAUUUUGGAACGUAUUAUCAGCUGCAGUCCUUGUGUUAAUUUCUCUAAUCUUGGAUAGUUUAUUUUGUCUGUUCUGACUCACCGCACUUGUAUCUUUUGUAUUUAUUAGGGAAUUAAUUUAAGUGGAGGCCAACGUCAGAGGAUAUGUGUGGCGCGCGCUCUCUAUCAGAACACCAAUAUUGUAUUCCUGG